rnacentral:rRNA from 1 species
AUUGAACGCUGGCGGCAUGCUUUACACAUGCAAGUCGAACGGCAGCGCGGGCUUCGGCCUGUCGGCGCGUUGCGAACGGGUGAGUAAUACAUCAGCACGUGCACAGUAGCAUGGGCUGGCUCGACUAAAGCCGGAUUGAUACCACAUCAAACCUGAGGGUGAAAGAGGGGGCUCUUCGGAACCUGCGCUGUUGGAGCGCGCGAUGGCAGAUUAGCUAGUUGGUGGGGUAAAGGCCUACCAAGGCGACGAUCUGUAGCUGGUCUGAGAGGACGACCAGCCACACUGGCACUGAGACACGGCCCAGACUCCUACGGGAGGCAGCAGUGGGGAAUUUUGGACAAUGGGCGAAAGCCUGAUCCAGCAAUGCCGCGUGUGUGAUGAAGGCCUUCGGGUUGUAAAGCACUUUUGGCGGGAACGAAAAGGACUGUGCCAAUACCACGGUUCGAUGACGGUACCCGCAGAAUAAGCACCGGCUAACUACGUG